UGAGCAACCUGCCCUUGACACUGGAAUAACAGUUGGAAACAGUUGCUAAUACCGGAUAUGACCUCUGACGACAUCGUCUGGAGGUGGAAAGCUCCGGCGGUCAAGGAUGGGCUCGCGGCCUAUCAGCUUGUUGGUGAGGUAACGGCUCACCAAGGCUUCGACGGGUAGCCGGCCUGAGAGGGUGACCGGCCACACUGGGACCGAGACACGGCCCAGACCUCCGUACGGGGAGG
rnacentral:rRNA from 1 species